rnacentral:rRNA from 1 species
ACUAGGGAUCGGACGAUGUUAUUUUUUGACUCGUUCGGCACCUUACACGAAAGUAAAGUUUCUGCGUUCCGGGGGGAGUAUGGUCGCAAGGCUGAAACUUAAAGAAAUUGACGGAAGGGCACCACCAGGAGUGGAGCCUGCGGCUUAAUUUGACUCAACACGGGGAAACUCACCAGGUCCAGACACGAUGAGGAUUGACAGAUUGAGAGCUCUUUCUUGAUUUCGUGG